UACGUAGGCAGCGAGCGUUGUUCGGAGUUACUGGGCGUAAAGGGUGUGUAGGCGGUUGUUUAAGUUUGGUGUGAAAUCUCCCGGCUCAACUGGGAGGGUGCGCCGAAUACUGAAUGACUCGAGUGUGGGAGAGGUGAGUGGAAUUCCUGGUGUAGCGGUGAAAUGCGUAGAUAUCAGGAGGAACACCGGUGGUGUAGACGGCUCACUGGACCAUAACUGACGCUGAGACCCGAAAGCGUGGGUAGCAAACAGG
rnacentral:rRNA from 1 species